CCUACGGGUGGCAGCAGUGGGGAAUAUUGCGCAAUGGGCGAAAGCCUGACGCAGCGACGCCGCGUGAGGGAUGAAGGUCUUCGGAUCGUAAACCUCUGUCAGCAGGGACGAACGGUCACUGUGCUAAUCAGCAGUGAAUUGACGGUACCUGCAAAGGAAGCACCGGCUAACUCCGUGCCAGCAGCCGCGGUAAUACGGAGGGUGCGGGCGUUAAUCGGAAUUACUGGGCGUAAAGCGCUCGUAGGCGGUAUUGCAAGUCAAGGGUGAAAUCCCCGCGCUCAACGUGGGAACUGACGUUGAAACGGGAAAACGUGAGUGUGUGAGGGGAUAGUGGAAUUCCAGGUGUAGGAGUGAAAUCCGUAGAUAUCUGGAGGAACAUCAGUGGCGAAGGCGAGUAUCUGGCACAUAACUGACGCUGAGGAGCGAAAGCGUGGGUAGCGAACAGGAUUAGAUACCCGGGUAGUC
rnacentral:rRNA from 1 species